rnacentral:misc_RNA from 1 species
CACCCACUUUUCUUCACUGCUUCAUAGUAAGAAACGCCUCUAUCCCUUAACAUGUCCAAGGAAGCAACAGUCACUAGCAACCUAGAGCACCCAAGUUUAGCCAAGCUUGGAGCUCCUGGAGCAACUGGAUUGAUCAGUGGACUGUCAAUACCACCAAUUGCUAAUGGAUUGACAAAAUCCCAACGCAUAUGGACAAUUGUCUUCUCACGUUCU